GGUUAAGCGACUAAGCGUACACGGUGGAUGCCCUGGCAGUCAGAGGCGAUGAAGGACGUGCUAAUCUGCGAAAAGCGUCGGUAAGGUGAUAUGAACCGUUAUAACCGGCGAUGUCCGAAUGGGGAAACCCAGUGCAAUUCGUUGCACUAUCGUUAACUGAAUACAUAGGUUAACGAGGCGAACCGGGGGAACUGAAACAUCUAAGUACCCCGAGGAAAAGAAAUCAACCGAGAUUCCCCCAGUAGCGGCGAGCGAACGGGGAGCAGCCCAGAGUCUGAAUCAGCUUGUGUGUUAGUGGAACGGUCUGGAAAGUCCGACGGUACAGGGUGAUAGUCCCGUACACCAAAAUGCACAGGUUGUGAACUCGAAGAGUAGGGCGGGACACGUGGUAUCCUGUCUGAAUAUGGGGGGACCAUCCUCCAAGGCUAAAUACUCCUGACUGACCGAUAGUGAACCAGUACCGUGAGGGAAAGGCGAAAAGAACCCCGGCGAGGGGAGUGAAAAAGAACCUGAAACCGUGUACGUACAAGCAGUGGGAGCACCUUCGGGUGUGACUGCGUACCUUUUGUAUAAUGGGUCAGCGACUUAUAUUCUGUAGCAAGGUUAACCGUAUAGGGGAGCCGCAGGGAAACCGAGUCUUAACUGGGCGUUAAGUUGCAGGGUAUAGACCCGAAACCCGGUGAUCUAGCCAUGGGCAGGUUGAAGGUUGGGUAACACUAACUGGAGGACCGAACCGACUAAUGUUGAAAAAUUAGCGGAUGACUUGUGGCUGGGGGUGAAAGGCCAAUCAAACCGGGAGAUAGCUGGUUCUCCCCGAAAGCUAUUUAGGUAGCGCCUCGUGAACUCAUCUUCGGGGGUAGAGCACUGUUUCGGCUAGGGGGUCAUCCCGACUUACCAACCCGAUGCAAACUACGAAUACCGAAGAAUGUUAUCACGGGAGACACACGGCGGGUGCUAACGUCCGUCGUGAAGAGGGAAACAACCCAGACCGCCAGCUAAGGUCCCAAAGUCAUGGUUAAGUGGGAAACGAUGUGGGAAGGCACAGACAGCCAGGAUGUUGGCUUAGAAGCAGCCAUCAUUUAAAGAAAGCGUAAUAGCUCACUGGUCGAGUCGGCCUGCGCGGAAGAUGUAACGGGGCUAAACCAUGCACCGAAGCUGCGGCAGCGACACUAUGUGUUGUUGGGUAGGGGAGCGUUCUGUAAGCCUGCGAAGGUGACCUGUGAGGGUUGCUGGAGGUAUCAGAAGUGCGAAUGCUGACAUAAGUAACGAUAAAGCGGGUGAAAAGCCCGCUCGCCGGAAGACCAAGGGUUCCUGUCCAACGUUAAUCGGGGCAGGGUGAGUCGACCCCUAAGGCGAGGCCGAAAGGCGUAGUCGAUGGGAAACAGGUUAAUAUUCCUGUACUUGGUGUUACUGCGAAGGGGGGACGGAGAAGGCUAUGUUAGCCGGGCGACGGUUGUCCCGGUUUAAGCAUGUAGGCUGAUUGUCCAGGCAAAUCCGGAUAAUCAAGGCUGAGGUGUGAUGACGAGGCACUACGGUGCUGAAGUAACAAAUGCCCUGCUUCCAGGAAAAGCCUCUAAGCAUCAGGUAACAUCAAAUCGUACCCCAAACCGACACAGGUGGUCAGGUAGAGAAUACCAAGGCGCUUGAGAGAACUCGGGUGAAGGAACUAGGCAAAAUGGUGCCGUAACUUCGGGAGAAGGCACGCUGGUGUGUAGGUGAAGUCCCUGCGGAUGGAGCUGAGACCAGUCGAAGAUACCAGCUGGCUGCAACUGUUUAUUAAAAACACAGCACUGUGCAAACACGAAAGUGGACGUAUACGGUGUGACGCCUGCCCGGUGCCGGAAGGUUAAUUGAUGGGGUUAUCCGUAAGGAGAAGCUCUUGAUCGAAGCCCCGGUAAACGGCGGCCGUAACUAUAACGGUCCUAAGGUAGCGAAAUUCCUUGUCGGGUAAGUUCCGACCUGCACGAAUGGCGUAAUGAUGGCCAGGCUGUCUCCACCCGAGACUCAGUGAAAUUGAACUCGCUGUGAAGAUGCAGUGUACCCGCGGCAAGACGGAAAGACCCCGUGAACCUUUACUAUAGCUUGACACUGAACAUUGAGCCUUGAUGUGUAGGAUAGGUGGGAGGCUUUGAAGCGUGGACGCCAGUCUGCGUGGAGCCAACCUUGAAAUACCACCCUUUAAUGUUUGAUGUUCUAACGUUGGCCCCUUACCGGGGUUGCGGACAGUGUCUGGUGGGUAGUUUGACUGGGGCGGUCUCCUCCCAAAGCGUAACGGAGGAGCACGAAGGUUAGCUAAUCCUGGUCGGACAUCAGGAGGUUAGUGCAAUGGCAUAAGCUAGCUUGACUGCGAGCGUGACGGCGCGAGCAGGUGCGAAAGCAGGUCAUAGUGAUCCGGUGGUUCUGAAUGGAAGGGCCAUCGCUCAACGGAUAAAAGGUACUCCGGGGAUAACAGGCUGAUACCGCCCAAGAGUUCAUAUCGACGGCGGUGUUUGGCACCUCGAUGUCGGCUCAUCACAUCCUGGGGCUGAAGUAGGUCCCAAGGGUAUGGCUGUUCGCCAUUUAAAGUGGUACGCGAGCUGGGUUUAGAACGUCGUGAGACAGUUCGGUCCCUAUCUGCCGUGGGCGCUGGAGAAUUGAGGGGGGCUGCUCCUAGUACGAGAGGACCGGAGUGGACGCAUCACUGGUGUUCGGGUUGUCAUGCCAAUGGCACUGCCCGGUAGCUAAAUGCGGAAGAGAUAAGUGCUGAAAGCAUCUAAGCACGAAACUUGCCCCGAGAUGAGUUCGCCCUGAGACUUUAAGUCGCAUGAAGGAACGUUAAAGACGAUGACGUUGAUAGGCCGG
rnacentral:rRNA from 1 species